GGGAUUCACUGACCUCACAAGGAAGGGAGCAGGGAUUCAAACCCAGGGAGGCUGACUGAAUGUGGAUGCACUAACCACCAGACUAGCCUUCCAUGGAGAGGUCCCCUGGCCCCCAAAGAGGGUGGUGUGAAUCCUGAGGGCCUUUCAAGAUUGUAUUCUACUUACCUGGGAUUCUCUUCAAACCAUCCACAGGUUCCAACCUCACACUGGCAAAGCACCUGUAAUGAGUGAACGGAACCUAUUCGUGAUGUGCAGCAUCUGAUCUGAGCAAGCCUACACGGGAGACGGACCCUCUGGCUCCUCUGUGCUUGUGUUCUGCUGGGCUCCAGUAGCCAAGAGCUGGACCGCUGUUUCCAGCACCAGGCACUUACAGAAACGAAAAGCACUCUCUAGAUCCAUGGAAUUCGGACUGAACGGGGGAUCCACAAACACCAUAGCAUUGCUGGCACAUUCUAGAAUUCGAUGUCCCUGAAGAGACACAGAAAAGGACUUUUUCUUCCUUAAUGGCCACAGUAAUGAUCCCCGUAAUAAAAAUCAGCCGGAUGGGCCCUGUCAUCCGAAAUGUAGGCUAGGUAUUAUGUAUGCCGGGUCUCAAGAAUGAGCUUCACGGGUAAGACGCUGGAUAUUUCACAAAUGCUGACUUCAGAUUUAAGGGCACUGGCUACUGAAAUUGGAAAUUCGUCAUACUCCUUUAAUGGGAAAUGGGUAACCGCACUUGAACACCUCGUGAGCUCAAUAAACCUUAAGCACACGAUUUCAACCAGGAUAGGGCAUCAGCUUGCUGAGAAAAGGCAGAGGCACUGUGGGUGCCGAGCCCUCCCUCACAUGCCCGUGGUGCAGGCCCCGCGGGCUGCUUGGGUGCGUGACUGAGGGUUACACAAGCUUACCCUUAGGAGGAUUCUGGAGGCAGAACUAGGUAGGAGACCGGGGCUCCGGGCGCCGCUGAGAGGCAACAGCGCCACCUGCUGGGCCCGCGCGGCCCUGCGAGCGCGGGAGGGCGAGCGCGCCUGCGCAGGGGGCCCGGCGGCCGACUUCAGGCGCAGGAGGGGUGCUCCGCUCUGCCCCGGGCCGGGAGUUAGGCCCGAUUGCAAGCGCAUUAGGCCUUAGAGUAAAACGUGAAUGUGAAGGGUGCUUCACUCAUAACAUCCGCCCGCUCAAAUAGCCCCCCUGGACCGUCUCCAUCAGCAACGGCAGCCAGGCCCGUAACCACACAGUCCAUUAACCGCUCCGCGCGCUCGUGGUUCCUGCACAGAACUUGUCGUUACGGCGAAAUAUGAUCAUGAAUUAAGCGAGAGAAGAAGGCAUUUGGCCGUUUAUUUCAAACCCAAGUCGGAACUAAGCCAGACUGAGCUUUUAGCUGACAAGUAUUUAAAACAAAGGACUCAAAGUCCUACAAGUUUUUAUAACUUUACAAAAUUCGACUUGGACCCUUGUCCACCUGACUCCUUUACUCAGAUUAAUCACGUUACUUCCUGACCUCUGGGGAGAACUAUGUAUUGACCUCCAAACUCUUGAGACAUUUGAGCAUGGGAAGUGGGGUCCGAGUGUGUACGUAAAGCUUUAUCGUUCACUUUAUAGGGGUUGCCAUUUAAAGCAAACAGCUAGACUCGAUUCCCUUCCCGAUUCCCAGAUCUUCUGGAGAUAAGAGGGAACACAGGGAUCUGACACUUUGGGGAUUCCCAUUGUGUGUGCUGGUCCUUUCAUCAGGGCUACUUUAUCAUCCUGUGAGCCCACGAGGCCUGAGAAGAGUCUCUGACCCACCCUUUAACCAUGGAUGAGUUUUUGGCUCUUAUGCCAAACAAGGUCACAAGGCCAAAGCAAGAUGCCCCCAAACAUUUCUAUGGCUUUGGAGCAAUUACUGUGAAACUUUUUAGUGCAAACAAGCUUAACUCUUCAUCAGGAUCCAGUAUGCAUUUGCUUUGGGACAAGUCGAUCUCCAGGACAGGGGGUGGAGGCCUCCCAGGUUCCAUGGCCUCAGGAAACAGUGGACCCCUAGACGCACAGGAUGUCUGUGAGAUGGCGACUCUCUAGAGGUCAUCAGCAUGAGGGAUGGAAAGGAAGAGAAGGCUCCUGUCACUUGGGCAAGGCAGUUCACCAAGUGCCUUGGUGGGCAUGAGUAAAAAUCCUAUAACCUAGUCACACCAAUGUAUAGUACUCCUUCCUUACAGAAGAGGAAACUGAGGCUCAGGAAGGUGGACUGGUUUAUGGACAGUCAGGGAAUCAGCUAGAGAAAGAGUCCAGAGAGAGGCCAGGUUGACUCUCCCACACGGUCUCCCCCUCAUGCUGCUUCCCUCAAGGCACAGAAAGCCCAAAGCUCACAUCUGUGGUUGACUAAACUUCAGGUAUAAGAAAAAAGAAAGAAGAAGAAGAAGAAGAAGGAGGAGGAGGAGGAGGAGGAGGAGAAGAAGAAGAAAUAGAAAAUCUCUGUUCUCUUAUCAAACAUUCCAUCUUUUAAAAGCCUUGUUAGAUGUGCGUUAACUUGGCCACGAAGUCCAGGCCCCGGGGCUGGAGAAACGGGGCGCAAGGGAAGCGGCCCGCGGGGCUGGACUCUUCCCUCACUCCACGGAAGGUGGGCUUGGCCACAUGACUCAUUGAGGCCACAGAGCGUGGCAGGACGGGCAGUGUGGCCUGAAUUUCCGGCCAGCGCAUCCACAGCUCCUCUCCCCGGGAUGGAGAGCGCAUGGCGCUCUGACUGGCAGCCCGACGCUGAGCCCCGAGGAGGACCCGCAGACCCCGGAGGGGAAUGUAAGUGCUCCUUGCUAGAUGCCACUGUUGUGUUUGCUUCGCAUCCAAAGCUCACACAGGCCCCUGCUUUGAACGAGGGAACUUCACCUCAUCUCACCGAUCUGAUUCUGUUUCAGUCGUAUGGCCCCACACCUGUCAUAAAGCAGCUGUGACAAGGUGGUCACAAGGGCUCUUUGUUUUAGGCUCCCUGCUGAUGUCAUGGGAGUGCAGAAGACAGAGAACUUCCAUUCUCAUUUUUCUGCUUUUUUAAAAUCAAGGUAUAACUGAUAUACAUUAUGUUCGUUUCAGGUGUACAUCCUAACGAUUUGAUGUUUGUAUAUAUUGAAAAAUGAUCACAUCUGUCACCACAUAGUUACAAUUGUUUUUGUGCUUCUUAAUAGAAGUACCUGCCCCUUUAUCAGAGUUCCGAUUACCCCAUGGGAGCGGAAGAGCGGCUGUCUUGUUCUUAAAAGAUCAGUCUUCUCCAAAAAGGCAGGGGGUUUGUAACAGUUUUACAAACACCCGCUUCCAAAACGGCUUGUUCAGGGAGCUCCUGGCUGGCUCAGAUGGUGGAGCGUGCCACUCUUGAUCUCGGGGUCUUGAGUUUGAGCCCCACGUUGGGUGUGCGAUUACUUCAAAAAGUAAAAUAAUAAAAAACAAAAACAAAAUGGCCAUUCAGAAGCAUUGCUUAUGGAAGUACAAUCCUUGGUCAUCCAGGAAAAACCUAGAAAUUCAAUUCCACUUCCUGGGUAUUCACUGAGCGAUUGCCAUGAGCCGCCCAUGGGCUUACUUACUUCCCAGGGCAAACAGCUGAAGCAGAGAGCUGGCUGCAACCAUCAUGCAUUCGCUGUAGAAACAUGGGCAUCGACCCUUAUUUCCCACAGGUUCUGGAGAGCCCAGGGUUCCCUGCUUUUUAGAAACAGCAGUGAAGGUAGUAUUUGUCUGGUCUGUAGUGUUUUGUUUCUUUUUUUAAGAUUUUAUUUAUUUAUUUGAGAGAGAGAGAAUGAGAGACAGAGAGCACGAGAGGGAGGAGGGUCAGAGGGAGAAGCAGACUCCCUGCAGAGCAGGGAGCCCGAUGUGGGACUCGAUCCCGGGACUCCAGGAUCAUGACCCGAGCCGAAGGCAGUCGC